rnacentral:rRNA from 1 species
GACGAACGCUGGCGGCGUGCUUAACACAUGCAAGUCGAACGGUGAAGCGCCUUCCUUUUUGGUGGGUGUGGAUGAGUGGCGAACGGGUGAGUAACACGUGAGUAACCUGCCCCCUUCUUCUGGAUAACCGCAUGAAAGUGUGGCUAAUACGGGAUAUUCUGGGUCUGUCGCAUGAUGGGUCUGGGAAAGAUAUUGUUUCGGUGGGGGAUGGGCUCGCGGCCUAUCAGCUUGUUGGUGGGGUGAUGGCCUACCAAGGCGGUGACGGGUAGCCGGCCUGAGAGGGUGGACGGUCACACGGGGACUGAGACACGGCCCAGACUCCUACGGGAGGCAGCAGGGGGGAAUAUUGCACAAUGGGCGCAAGCCUGAUGCAGCGACGCUGCGUGAGGGAUGGAGGCCUUCGGGUUGUGAACCUCUUUCGCCAGUGAAGCAGGCCUGCCUCGUUUGUGGGUGGGUUGACGGUAGCUGGAUAAGAAGCGCCGGCUAACUACGUG